GCGGCAGGCGCGAAACCUUAGCCCUGUGCGAAAGCACGACUGGGUCAGUCCGAGUGAUUCCUGCUAAAGGAAUCUUUUGCUUGUCCUAAAAGCACAGGUGAAUAAGGGGUGGGCAAGUCUGGUGUCAGCCGCCGCGGUAAUACCAGCACCUCGAGUGGUCAGGACGUUUAUUGGGCCUAAAGCAUCCGUAGCCGGCUCUGCAAGUCUUCGGUUAAAUCCACCUGCUCAACAGAUGGGCCGCUGGAGAUACUACAGAGCUAGGGAGUGGGAGAGGCAGACGGUAUUCAGUGGGUAGGGGUAAAAUCCUCUGAUCCAUCGAGGACCACCAGUGGCGAAGGCGGUCUGCCAGAACACGUUCGACGGUGAGGGAUGAAAGCUGGGGGAGCAAACCGGACUAGAUACCCGGGUAGUCCCAGCUGUAAACGAUGCAAACUCGGUGAUGCGUUGGUUUAUGGCCAAUGCAGUGCCGCAGGGAAGCCGUUAAGUUUGCCGCCUGGGAAGUACGGACGCAAGUCUGAAACUUAAAGGAAUUGGCGGGGGAGCAC
rnacentral:rRNA from 1 species